UGGGGAAUUUUGGACAAUGGGGGCAACCCUGAUCCAGCCAUCCCGCGUGUGCGAUGAAGGCCUUCGGGUUGUAAAGCACUUUUGGCAGGGAAGAAACAGCCUGGGAUAAUACCCCGGGCGACUGACGGUACCUGCAGAAUAAGCACCGGCUAACUACGUGCCAGCAGCCGCGGUAAUACGUAGGGUGCAAGCGUUAAUCGGAAUUACUGGGCGUAAAGCGUGCGCAGGCGGUUCGGAAAGAAAGGUGUGAAAUCCCAGGGCUUAACCUUGGAACUGCACUUUUAACUACCGAGCUAGAGUACGUCAGAGGGGGGUAGAAUUCCACGUGUAGCAGUGAAAUGCGUAGAGAUGUGGAGGAAUACCGAUGGCGAAGGCAGCCCCCCUGGGAUGAUACUGACGCUCAUGCACG
rnacentral:rRNA from 1 species